rnacentral:rRNA from 1 species
CAGCAGCCGCGGUAAUACGAAGGGUGCAAGCGUUAAUCGGAAUUACUGGGCGUAAAGCGUGCGUAGGCGGUUUGUUAAGUCUGUUGUGAAAUCCCCGGGCUCAACCUGGGAAUGGCAAUGGAUACUGGCAAGCUAGAGUGUGUCAGAGGAUGGUGGAAUUCCAGGUGUAGCAGUGAAAUGCGUAGAGAUCUGGAGGAACAUCAGUGGCGAAGGCGGCCAUCUGGGACAACACUGACGCUGAGGCACGAAAGCGUGGGGAGCAAACAGGAUUAGAGACCCCCGUAGUCCCUGUCUCUUAUAU